GUGGAGGUUGAUCCUUCACCACAACUGAGAGGCUCAUCUCUCACCACGACAGACUUGAGGGGUUCUCUGCCAUCUGAUCCUUCACCACAACAGUGGAGGCUGAUCUCUCACCGCAACACAGAGGCUGAUCUCUCAUGAUCUCUCACCACGACACGAGCUUCCUGCCUUCAGAUCCUUCUCUAUGGACCGUUUGCUGACGGACUUCCCUGGGCCUGCUACCUGAGACCUGCUGCUUCCUCCCUGACCUGCACCCUCUCAUUGCCAAGACCGGCCUCGCUGCUCCUGCCCUUCGGCCUCGGACCGUCAGAACGUCGUGCAACGGGACUACUGCCGGAUCCUGGGCAAGAGAGAACAAUGGUCAUGCAAGGAAUUCUGGAGAGAGAAUGGUAGAAUGGUUACAACGAGCUCACUGGGAGAUCUGAUCCCAGUCACCAGCUGAGAGGACAGAGGAGAACACAACUUGCGCUCCCGAUCCCUUCAGAAGUCUUCCCAGAGCCCUGACGUCCCUUCUGAUCACCCAAAGGCUUCUUUUGCCUACCUCUUCAUUUCCAAUGUGGAAAACCAGUAACGGAGAAUAAUCGGAGGGCUUAACGAGGUGUCGUUAAUCGGAGGCUUAAUGACAACACACCUCCCUGUGGGAUGGAUCUGAGCAGCAUAUCGGGCCCUCGGUUCCCCUCAGAAGGGAGUUCCCUAUGACGACAAGUUUUUUUGUUUUGUUUUGUUCCCCUCCCCCCCCCCCCCCUCCCCCCCCAAGUGACGUAGCAAAAUGGGGAGCAGACUGACUAGCCUUGGGCAACCUCUCCUGCAUGGAUGGACUUUCACCAACAUCCACAGCUCCUACUCCCUCCAGCUUCAGAGCCUCAUACCUGUUUUGUAAGGGCACCUGGGAAGGUGGGACAGGCUGAGGGGCAGUCUGCUUGCUGCCCUGAACAGGGACUUGUUUCCAUCCCUCGCUGUCUUUGAGGUCACUCCUUCCCACCUGACUGUGAGACAGCAGAUGAUCCCCCACUGCUUGAGGAGCAUCUCCCCUGCACCCUUUCUGUAGGGAUGGCAGAGUGCAACUUUACUAGUCAAUCCCCUUCCCACAAUCCCGGAUGCUCCUCCCUUUCUUCCUCCUUCUGCUCUACCACCAGCCUGAGCAGAUCCUCCACCUGCUCACACUGCACACAGGUAGUAUCCUGGCUGCCCUCCUGUACCAGUAACAUGGCCAGGCAUUCUCCGCAACCUGAGACCCGAACUGUGGCAUGGACAUUCAUGCUUUCUGUCUGAGUCUCCACGUUCCUUUUAGCAGCAGCUCACCUCCGUUUGGUGACCAUGGUUGCACCUCGGUGUGUCCAGAGAGCAACGACCUGUUAAGUGACCUGUUAAGUGCUAAGUGCUAAGCCCCCUCCUAUAUGGCAAGGUGCCCUGCCCUGCCCUGCCUGCCCGCUGAUUUGCUCGGGGUUUGCCCUAGAAAUCACUCUUUUCACAGCAAGACAACAACCUGCCUUCCUGCAUAGUCACGCAAAUAGGUGGCUUACUAUUUCACCUCCUCAGAACAGCCCAAGUGAUUCAAACACCCUGACUCCUCCUCUCCAUCCCCAAGGCUUUUUCUAGGCAGGGGGCGUGGAUGCAGAGCCGUUGCCCUGGCAACGCCCACUUCAUGUCAGCCACUCUCCCAAGAGCUGCCAGGCUGCUCUGUUAUCCCGGGGUUCCCUGAAUAAAGGAACCGGCCAAAACACCCCUGUACCUCGUGAUCAGUCACUGUGGUUCUGGCUGGGACAGCUCCGAAGCAGCUAACCUCGGCAAUCAAAUUGAGUUACUAUCUUCACGUACUUCAAAAUUUCUCAGUUUUCUAAAGUCAAGUAUUGAUAGUGAAAUCUCAAAACUGCUUAACCAAUGUUUAUACAGAUUUUUUUUUUCUGAUCAAUCUUGAAUCAUUCUAAAGCAACUUCAAAAUAAUAUAAAGUUAUUACCAUAUGAAUUGCUUUUAUUUUGAUAAAAAAUAUUACUUUAGAUCUCUAAAUCUAAACUUCAUAAGCCAAACUUUACCUUUUUAGUCAACUUUUUUUUUUUUUUUUUUUUAAGUUUUGUGAGUGUGUGUGUGUGAGUGUGUGAAAAAGUAAUGUAUUUGGAUCUCAGUACAUGACAUAUGAUCCUCGGUAAUGAAAUUUGUAUGGCUCAGAAACGUGCAACAAUUUUAUCAGUGUAUUUUCCAAAUAUUUUGAUGCACUUGAGAAGAAAAAAAAAUAGGAAAAGCGAAAAGGAAGGAAAACAUAGGAACACAUAUGUUUAUGCAGAACAAAUAAUCUUUUAAUUAAUCUUCAGUACAGUAUACAGACUAAUAAUUGCAUUUCAUCACAGAAUCACAGAAUCACAGUAUGGCCUGGGUUGGAAGGGAUCUCAGGAAUCAUGAAUCUCUAACCCCCCCGCCACAGGCAGGGCCAUCACAUGUAGAAAAAAAAACUGAUAUUGAAGUUUAGGAAUCAAUAUCUAAAAGGAAUGUCAAGGAAUUCAGACUACCACUAAAACUGUGAAUGCACAUUACUGAAUGCUUCUCUUUACUUGGAAGAGAUUUAUGAGGAAAGCUGUGUGUAUAUAUUAUAUAUACAAGGUCCUCAAACAGCAAAAUAACAUUAGCGUAAGCCAAAAUAAAGGUCAAUUUCCAAGCAUG
ensembl:lncRNA